rnacentral:lncRNA from 1 species
ACUGAUAUUUUGAUAGAAGUUCCUCGAAAUGGGGUAAUAUGUGUCACAAAUAUACAAUUACAGGGUGAAAAGUUGAAUUCACACUUUUUUUGACAAAGAUUAAAUAUGCCAUUACAUACGAAAUUAUUAAAUGUUCUUUAUACGACAUGGUGCGUGAUGUUCUGCACCGAUGGUAAAUGUCCAUCUUAUUUAUUUUUCGCAAUCUCUUUUGCUCUUGGUUGGUAGAUACAAGCUUUUUUUGUCAGCAAACCUUGAUGCUUGAUGUGCAACCUGAGAAUUUUUGCCAACAGAGGAGGAGAAAACUGAACAUCGAGCAUAACAUGCUAGACAACCCAUGUAUAAAACUGGAUAUAUACCUGCAGAGCAAUAAAUAAAGGCUGGUUCAUCCAAUUAUGCAACUCUCACAGAAAUCUUAAUUUUGCAUGAUUCUGACAAUAAAUUUUGACUUCAUCACUGUACAAAUUAUAAGAAAAUACCGAAAGCUUAAUCGUCCAAAAACACUAUUAGACAAAAUAAGUGAGAAUAGAAACGGAGAAAGAAAGAGAAAACGUUUAUAAUGGCAUACCUUCAAAAUAUAUGCUUUUUUCAACCUCUAUGGUUCACAUGUUCUAAAUUCUCCUUGCCGCAUAUAUAAAUACAUAUGAUCGCAGUAGAAACUAGUAUAAUCUCCCAGAUCUAUACUGGUAAUAUAUAAGCUUGCAUCCAUCCAUUAGAGGCAAAUACUAGACUUCUUCCCAGGUCGUUUGAAAUCAACAACAUACUUUUUAGAAAUGUAAGGACUAGACUAGACUGUUCAGUAACCAAACUAAUUCAUGCACUUUAAUUAGAAAAUUCAUCAUCUUAUAAACUGAGUAUCUAAGAUGAAAAAAAAAAUUGCCUUGAAGACUGAAAGUACACACUUGGCAAGAAGAUAAAUUUACCUUCUUGUUCAUCCAAGAUAGAACGUCAGCAGAUCUCAUGUGUUCACAGCUCUAGAUCCAACCACUUCCAUCCAACUCCCUUGGCUACAUGCAAAGAAGGACAAAACCCAAAUGAGAUAGCGUUGAUUUAAACAGCCAUAUAUGUUUAUAACUGGAGGCCCUGAAUUUAGUUUUUGUUACAAUGUCUGGAAGUGAAGCCACAUUAUUAUCAUGUAAAAAACAAGAAUUGUAAGGCAGAUUAGAUGUUCAUAGAAAACACAUAUCUCCACAAGUGUUGACGAGAGCACCUAUACUAGUAGUGACCAAUGGACGGAACAGAGUAUGUACAUAUUAGGAUAUCUUAGUGAUAG